rnacentral:rRNA from 1 species
AGUCUAGCCUGCUCACUGAUAGAAAUUAUUAAAUAGCCGCGGUAUUUUGACCGUGCAAAGGUAGCAUAAUCAUUAGUUUUUUAAUUGAAAACUUGUAUGAAUGGUUGGACAAAGAAGAGACUGUCUCUUGUGUUAUAAUUGAAUUUAACUUUUAAGUGAAAAGGCUUAAAUAUUCUAGAGGGACGAUAAGACCCUAUAAAGCUUUAUAAAUUUGAAGAUUUUGUGUAUUUUUAUAUAAAAAUGAAUUUUUGAAGAUUUUAUUUGGUUGGGGCGACAAUGGUAUAAUGAGAAUAACUGCUAUUAAAAUUAACAAUUAUAUUUGAAUUAUUAAUAAUUGAUCCUUUAUAAGGAUUUUAAGAUCAAGUUACUUUAGGGAUAACAGCGUUAUUUUUCUUGAGAGUUCUUAUCAAAGGAAAAGUUUGCGACCUCGAUGUUGAAUUAAAAUGUCUAUAUAGUGCAGCAGCUAUAAAAGAAGGUCUGUUCGACCUUUAAUGUUUUACAUGAUUUGAGUUCAGACCGGCGGGAGCCAGGUCGGUUUCUAUCUUCUAGAUAAUAAAUAGGUACCUUAGUACGAAAGGAUUGGGUAGUUAAAAUUUUUUUUGAAAAAAUUGAAAU